rnacentral:rRNA from 1 species
GCCCGCUCAGAAACUUAAAGGAAGUUGACGGGGCCCGGCACAAGCGGUGGAGCAUGUGGUUAAUUCGAAGCAACGCGAAGAACCUUACCAGGCCUUGACAUGCAGAGAACUUUCCAGAGAUGGAUUGGUGCCUUCGGGAACUCUGACACAGGUGCUGCAUGGCUGUCGUCAGCUCGUGUCGUGAGAUGUUGGGUUAAGUCCCGUAACGAGCGCAACCCUUGUCCUUAGUUACCAGCACGUUAUGGUGGGCACUCUAAGGAGACUGCCGGUGACAAACCGGAGGAAGGUGGGGAUGACGUCAAGCCAUCAUGGCCCUUACGGCCUGGGCUACACACGUGCUACAAUGGUCGGUACAAAGGGUUGCCAAGCCGCGAGGUGGAGCUAAUCCCAUAAAACCGAUCGUAGUCCGGAUCGCAGUCUGCAACUCGACUGCGUGAAGUCGGAAUCGCUAGUAAUCGUGAAUCAGAAUGUCACGGUGAAUACGUUCCCGGGCCUU